UGCAGGGUAGCACCUGGGGCGUCUGCCUGCAGGGGCCUUAUCUCUGGCACCCAGGAACCCUCACGCUCCCCGCUCUUUCCCUCCUGGCACCCGCCAGUUGCCUAGCGAUUCGCGGUGAGAGUUUGGGGUGCGAGGUGGCUUGGUGAAAGAGAUCGUAAAAAACUACAAAGAAAAUAAACUCAUAAUGAUAACUAAAGAUAACUGUCCGAUAGCGAAGGUGCUUCUUGCAAAAACGCCAUUAGUGCUUUCCUUACGGUGUUAAAAUCCUCCAGAAGCCUCCGGGCCAAGCAGUGGCUCCGAAGGAGAUCUGGGCUUCUUUGUCUUGUCAAUGGCUACUGCACCGGGACAGAAACCGGUCUGGGGGCCAGUGUGGGCAGAAGGAGAUUGGUAAGAACUGUCCUAGGGUCCCCAACAACUCGCAGAGUUCCUGCAACUGCUGUGAAGAGAAGUGUUAAUAUUAAGAAGAGGUCCUACCGAGAUACGGUUGAGAAAGCUCAAUAACAGCAUGGCACAAGAAAUUCUGUGGCUCCUUACACACUGAGAUACCAUUGAACCUGCUUCUCACAAGUCUGGUUGCAACACUGGCCUCCAAAAUGCUGAAUCAUUAUCUGGUGUCUGAGAUUCUACUGGCUUCCCCUUGAAGCCCACAUUCCCUGCAUCUUUCCCUGGAUGAAGCCAAAGAAGAUGCAUUUUGGGGGACUACUCAAGAGUGUGGAGAGUGGAGAAUUUCCACGUUUAGUUCUCAGAAGGAUGCUGUCAACCACAAUUAGCAAGUUGUGGAUUGUCCAGAUAUAUAAAAUAAAAGUCGCUUUA